UGUGGGAUAGCUUAGAUGGUAAAGCACUCGCUUCAUAAGCGAGGAUAACGCCCUCUUUAGCUAUAAGGCGGGAGUCCCGCUCUCACGACCA
rnacentral:tRNA from 1 species